rnacentral:rRNA from 1 species
AGAGUUUGAUCCUGGCUCAGGAUGAACGCUAGCUACAGGCUUAACACAUGCAAGUCGAGGGGAAACGACAUCGAAAGCUUGCUUUUGAUGGGCGUCGACCGGCGCACGGGUGAGUAACGCGUAUCCAACCUGCCCACCACUUGGGGAUAACCUUGCGAAAGUAAGACUAAUACCCAAUGACGUCUCUAGAAGACAUCUGAAAGAGAUUAAAGAUUUAUCGGUGAUGGAUGGGGAUGCGUCUGAUUAGCUUGUUGGCGGGGUAACGCCACAAGGCGACGAUCAGGUAGGGUUCUGAGAGGAAGGUCCCCCANAUUGGAACUGAGACACGGUCCAAACUCCUACGGGAGCA